UUGCAGGCUGCCACCCUCCAAGUCCUGCUUCUCUCUAGAGAUGGGCAGGAGCACCAGCCCUCACCUGGCACCAGCACUCUCUUCAUGGAAUUUUGUCGGUUCAAGAAGUCAUACCCCAGCCCAAGAGAAGCCCUGGACAUCUCUCAUAAGACAUCCAAGGGACAGGGCUCCUGGGAGACCUAGGGUGAGCUGGAGAGUGAAGAACAGACCCCACUGGGAAGUAAGCAGCCCUGGAUUCUGCCUCUUGCAAACUGAUUCGUUUUGAACCCUGUUUUUCUAUCUGUACAAGGGACUGUAACUCCCCUGCCCCUGCCUAGAUUCUCAUACCUGGAGACUAGGAGGGCUAAGACCCCUUCUAGAGAUAAAAAUAAAAGUUGUGAAGAAAAAGACCAA
ensembl:lncRNA novel transcript, antisense to a novel gene